GUUGGAUAAAACUUGUUUGUGUGACUGCUUUUUAUUAUUUAUUUUUGCAGGUAUGAUCUUUUGCACAAUGGACGAGCUCUUCAAAGUUGCUCAGGUAUGUUUAUGAGAAAGAAUACAUGUUCCCAUGUGGGUUGGGUUGUGUAAUGGCUCCAAACAAACAUGACUGUGUGGGUUGGGUAAAGGGUCAAAACGAGCAGCUUUUAGAAAACAUGUCAAAUGGGUUCGGUUCAAAUGGGUCGGGUCAGAGCAAGUUCGCAUGCUAUACAUCCACCAUUCCACCCAUUAUUUACCAAAAGGACCCCUGAAGUUUCUGCAUAUGUUGGUGGAUAGCAUGAUAGUGUUGAAGAAAUCAACACUGAAAAGUUUGAAUUGGAUCCUGGAAUUGCCCCAGUAGUUGUAAAAGGAUCCGAAAUCCACUGGUUGUAUUUAACAAGAAAAUAACUAAAGCAGGGGGCACUGCGUAAGGCUGGCUUGCCCGUUCCAAGUUGUGAGUCGGACCACGUGUCUCGAGCGAAGGCUUGGGUCACGUGGUUCCUAAAGCAGGGGGCACUGCGUAAGGAUGACUUCACAGAUAAAAUGCCCAGCCCGGCAAGUGUUUACAGUUGAAUUUAGUCUCCGUGAUUGUUGUAUUAUCAUUGUUACUGUUUUUGCCAUUUACAUGCGAUUAAGACGGUAUGCUGAUGAAAAUCGUGUCGAAAUAAGUGUUCUUAAGCUUCAGGUAUUCUGCUUUUCAAGAAUCUGUAUAGUACAAUUUGUGGUAAUUACUACUAACUUUGUAUAUUGUUAAGGUUGGAUUAUCGGGUAUCGCUAGAUCACUGCAAAAGGAUCUUAAUCAAAUAGCGGAGACAGCUGAUACCUCCACCCCUAAGGGCUUCGGGCAUAUAUUACAAGAGACAACACUAUCCAUGCUUCAACAUCCUGAUUAUUGCAUUUCAGGUUAUUCUUCGGUGGAAGUGAAAAGGGGAGUAGACGAAUCACGAAUGCGAGAAAAGAUUUAAUGAACUUUCUAAAGAAGAAAGGGAUAAAUUUGACGAGGAGACUCUGGUCAACUUCAACAACAUCAGAAAGCAAAGUGGAGGUAUCCGAUGCAGUCUGUAACAAAUAUGUUGUGGUUACGAUCAUUGUGGCUGCUAGCGGCGCACAUGAACUGCCACCGAUCAAAACGAGGGAACUUGUGAAGAUAGCUUUGCAAAAGCUUGCAUCUAUCUCGUCAAACAAUAUACUGGCAGUUGAGGUGUUAUGGACCCCACAGAAGGAAAAUGAUACUCUUACAGAGCAGAAUAUGCUUCAAGAUUAUCCACUGUUGCACCCUCUAUAGGCAAAGAACAGAAGCAGAAAAUCGAAUCUUAAAGUAACAUUAAUAUGAGAUUCAUUUCAUGUAUUCUGGUGGCUAUAGUAUGUUACUCUCAUUAUAUUGUUAUCGAUAAAUAUUCGUUAUAUAAAAAAGUUAUAUUUUACAGUA